rnacentral:rRNA from 1 species
GUGGGGAAUAUUGGACAAUGGGCGAAAGUCUGAUCCAGCCAUGCCGCGUGUGUGAAGAAGGUCUUCGGAUUGUAAAGCACUUUAAGUUGGGAGGAAGGGCAGUAAGUUAAUACCUUGCUGUUUUGACGUUACCGACAGAAUAAGCACCGGCUAACUUCGUGCCAGCAGCCGCGGUAAUACGAAGGGUGCAAGCGUUAAUCGGAAUUACUGGGCGUAAAGCGCGCGGAGGUGGUUGUGUAAGUUGGAGGUGAAAUCCCCGGGCUCAACCUGGGAACUGCCUCCAAAACUGAAUGACUAGAGUACGGUAGAGGGUAGUGGAAUUUCCUGUGUAGCGGUGAAAUGCGUAGAUAUAGGAAGGAACACCAGUGGCGAAGGCGACUACCUGGACUGAUACUGACACUGAGGUGCGAAAGCGUGGGGAGCAAACAGGAUUAGAUACCCGUGUAGUCC